rnacentral:rRNA from 1 species
GACGAACGCUGGCGGCGUGCUUAACACAUGCAAGUCGAGCGGUAAGGCCCUUUCGGGGGUACACGAGCGGCGAACGGGUGAGUAACACGUGGGUGACCUGCCCUCAGCUCUGGGAUAAGCCUGGGAAACCGGGUCUAAUACCGGAUAUGACUCCAUGACGCAUGUUGUGGGGUGGAAAGCCUUGUGCGGCUGAGGAUGGGCCCGCGGCCUAUCAGCUUGUUGGUGGGGUGAUGGCCUACCAAGGCGACGACGGGUAGCCGGCCUGAGAGGGCGACCGGCCACACUGGGACUGAGACACGGCCCAGACUCCUACGGGAGGCAGCAGGUGGGGAAUCUUGCGCAAUGGGCGAAAGCCUGAUGGAGCGACGCCGCGUGCAGGAUGAC